UGGGGAAUAUUGGACAAUGGGCGCAAGCCUGAUCCAGCCAUGCCGCGUGAGUGAUGAAGGCCCUAGGGUUGUAAAGCUCUUUCACCGGUGAAGAUAAUGACGGUAACCGGAGAAGAAGCCCCGGCUAACUUCGUGCCCGCAGCCGCGGUAAUACGAAGGGGGCUAGCGUUGUUCGGAAUUACUGGGCGUAAAGCGCACGUAGGCGGAUUGUUAAGUGAGGGGUGAAAUCCCAGGGCUCAACCCUGGAACUGCCUUUCAUACUGGCAAUCUAGAGUCCAGAAGAGGUGAGUGGAAUUCCGAGUGUAGAGGUGAAAUUCGUAGAUAUUCGGAGGAACACCAGUGGCGAAGGCGGCUCACUGGUCUGGUACUGACGCUGAGGUGCGAAAGCGUGGGGAGCAA
rnacentral:rRNA from 1 species